UACGUAGGGGGCUAGCGUUGUCCGGAAUUAUUGGGCGUAAAGCGCGUGUAGGCGGCAUGGCAAGUCGGGUGUGAAAGCCCUCAGCUUAACUGAGGAAGUGCGCCCGAAACUGCCGUGCUUGAGUGCCGGAGAGGGUGGCGGAAUUCCCCAAGUAGAGGUGAAAUUCGUAGAUAUGGGGAGGAACACCGGUGGCGAAGGCGGCCACCUGGACGGUAACUGACGCUGAGACGCGAAAGCGUGGGGAGCAAACAGG
rnacentral:rRNA from 1 species